UCCUGACACAGGGAGGUAGUGACAAGAAAUAACAAUACAGGGCUCUCUGAGUCUUGUAAUUGGAAUGAGUACAAUUUACAUCUCUUCACGAGGAUCAAUUGGAGGGCAAGUCUGGUGCCAGCAGCCGCGGUAAUUCCAGCUCCAAUAGCGUAUAUUAAAGUUGUUGCAGUUAAAACGCUCGUAGUCGGAUUUCGGGGCGGGACCGCCGGUCUGCCGAUAGGUAUGCACUGGCGGGCGCGUCCUUUUUCCCGGAGACGGCUGCUACUCUUAACUGAGCGGUGGUUGGAGACGGGAUGUUUACUUUGAAAAAAUCAGAGUGUUUCAAGCAGGCAGUCGCUCUUGCAUGGAUUAGCAUGGGAUAAUGAAAUAGGACUCUGGUGCUAUUUUGUUGGUUUCGAGCACCGGAGUAAUGAUUAACAGGGACA
rnacentral:rRNA from 1 species